CCCUUCCGGGGGUCGCCUCCGGUGUGUACUGUCUGACUGAGUCUUACCUCUUGGUGAGCCGGCGUGCCCUUUAUUGGUGUGCGUCGGGGAACCAGGACUUUUACCUUGAGAAAAUUAGAGUGUUCAAAGCAGGCCUAUGCCUGAAUACAUUAGCAUGGAAUAAUAAAAUAGGACGUGCGGUUCUAUUUUGUUGGUUUCUAGAGUCGCCGUAAUGAUUAAUAGGGAUAGUUGG
rnacentral:rRNA from 1 species